rnacentral:rRNA from 1 species
AUUGAACGCUGGCGGCAGGCUCAACACAUGCAAGUCGAGCGGGGUGAUGGUGCUUGCACUAUCACUUAGCGGCGGACGGGUGAGUAAUGCUUAGGAAUCUGCCUAUUAGUGGGGGACAACAUCUCGAAAGGGAUGCUAAUACCGCAUACGUCCUACGGGGGCAAGCAGGGGAUCACUUGUGACCUUGCGCUAAUAGAUGAGCCUAAGUCGGAUUAGCUAGUUGGUGGGGUAAAGGCCUACCAAGGCGACGAUCUGUAGCGGGUCUGAGAGGAUGAUCCGCCACACUGGGACUGAGACACGGCCCAGACUCCUACGGGAGGCAGCAGUGGGGAAUAUUGGACAAUGGGGGGAACCCUGAUCCAGCCAUGCCGCGUGUGUGAAGAAGGCCUUAUGGUUGUAAAGCACUUUAAGCGAGGAGGAGGCUCUUCUGGUUAAUACCCAGAAUGAGUGGACGUUACUCGCAGAAUAAGCACCAGCUAACUCUGUGCCAGCCGCCGCGGUAA